rnacentral:rRNA from 1 species
AAGGUAGCAUAAUCAUUAGUUUUUUAAUUGAAAGCUGGAAUGAAAGGUUGGAUGAAAAAAUGACUGUCUCUAUUAAAAUUUAUUAGAAUUUUAUUUUUAAGUAAAAAAGCUUAAAUAAUUAUUGAAGACGAGAAGACCCUAUAGAGUUUUAUAAGUUUAAUUAUUGAAAAUUUUAGUAUUAUAAAAGUUAAUAUUUGGAUUUAUUUAGUUGGGGUGAUUAAAAAACUUAAUUAACUUUUUUUGUAUUUAACCAUAAAUUUAUGAUUAAUUGAUCCUUUUAUUGAGAUUAAAAGAUAAAAUUAC